UCCGGUUGAUCCCGCCGGACCCGACUGCUAUCAGAAUAGGACUAAGCCAUGCGAGUCAACGUAGCAAUACGUGGCAUACGGCUCAGUAACACGUAGUCAACAUGCCCAGGGGACGUGGAUAACCUCGGGAAACUGAGGAUAAACCGCGAUAGGUCAUAGUAUCUGGAAUGAUUUAUGGCUUAAAUCUAUAUGGCCUCUGGAUUGGACUGCGGCCGAUCAGGCUGUUGGUGAGGUAAUGGCCCACCAAACCUAAAACCGGUACGGGCUCUGAGAGGAGAAGCCCGGAGAUGGGCACUGAGACAAGGGCCCAGGCCCUAUGGGGCGCAGCAGGCCCGAAAACUCUGCAAUAAGCGAAAGCUUGACAGGGUUAUUCUGAGUGAUUUCCGCUAAGGAAAUCUUUUGGCACCUCUAAAAAUGGUGCAGAAUAAGGGGUGGGCAAGCCUGGUGUCAGCCGCCGCGGUAAUACCAGCACCCCGAGUGGUCGGGACGAUUAUUGGGCCUAAAGCAUCCGUAGCCGGUUCUACAAGUCUUCCGUUAAAUCCACCUGCUCAACAGAUGGGCUGCGGAGGACACUAUAGAGCUAGGAGGCGGGAGAGGCAAGCGGUACUCAGUGGGUAGGGGUAAAAUCCGUUGAUCCAUUGAAGACCACCAGUGGCGAAGGCGGCUUGCCAGAACGCACUCGACGGUGAGGGAUGAAAGCUGGGGGAGCAAACCGGAUUAGAUACCCGGGUAGUCCCAGCUGUAAACGAUG
rnacentral:rRNA from 1 species